CCACAGAUGCCACCCCCACCUUCCCUCUUCCAAAACAUUAUCAACAGACACCCCACCUCCCUCUUCAAACAAUUAUCACACAGAGGCACCCCCACCUCCCUCUUCAAAACUUUAUCCACAGGCACCCCACUCCCUCUUCAAAACAUUAUCACACAGAGGGCACCCCCACCUCCCUCUUCAAAACAUUAUCACACAGAGGCACCCCCACCUUCCCUCUUCAAAACAUUAUAACCCCCAGACACCCCCACCUCCCUCUUUCAAAACCUUAUCCACACAGAGGAACCCCCACCUUCCCUUCUUCAAACAUUAUCACACGAGGCACCCCCACCUCCUCUUCCACACAUUAUCACCCCAGGACACCCCCACCUCCCUCUUCAAAACAUUAUCACACAGAGGCACCCCCACCUCCCUCUUCAAAACCUUAUCACACAGAGGCACCCCCAUCCUCCCUCUUCAAAACCUUAUCACACAGACACCCCACCGCCCCUCUUACAACAUUAUCACACAGGCGGCACCCCCACCUCCCUCUUCAAACAUUACUCACACAGACAACCCCCACCUCCCUCUUCAAACACAUUAUAACACAGAGGCACCCCCCACCUACCUCUCAAAACAUAUCACACAGACACCCCCCCCUCCCUCUUUCAAACAUUAUCACAACAGAGGCCCCCCCCACCCUCCCUCUUCAAAAACAUAUCACCAGACACCCAACCUCCCUCUUAAAACAUUAUCACACAGAGGCACCCCACCUCCCUCUCCAAAAAUUAUCACACAGAGGCACCCCCCACCUCCUUCUCAAAAAACAUUUAUCACCCAGACACCCCACCCUCCCUCUUCAAAACAUUAUCCCACAGACACCCCCCCCCUCCCUAUUCAAACCUUAUUCACACAGGGACCCCCAACCCCUUUCCAAAACAUUAUCACACCGUACACCCCCACCCUCCCUCUCAAAAUAUUAUCACACAGAGGCACCCCAACCUCCCUCUUCAAAACCUUAUCACACAGACACCCCCACCUCCCUUUCAACACAUUAUUCACACAGACACCCCCACCUCCCUCUUCAAAACAUUUAUCCACACAGACCACCCCCACCUCCUCUUCCAAUAUUAUCACCAUGUCCUCCACCUCUCUCUCUUUUUUCUUUCUUUCUCUUCUGUGUGUCCUCAUCACUCUGUUCUCCAUCACUCGUUUCUCCAUAACUCUUGUUUACUCCAUUCACUCUGUUC
rnacentral:lncRNA from 1 species